rnacentral:piRNA from 1 species
UAGGAUGGAAUGGCACACAGUGCGGG